GAUGAACGCUAGCUACAGGCUUAACACAUGCAAGUCGAGGGGCAGCAUGGUCUUAGCUUGCUAAGGCCGAUGGCGACCGGCGCACGGGUGAGUAACACGUAUCCAACCUGCCGUCUACUCUUGGACAGCCUUCUGAAAGGAAGAUUAAUACAAGAUGGCAUCAUGAGUCCGCAUGUUCACAUGAUUAAAGGUAUUCCGGUAGACGAUGGGGAUGCGUUCCAUUAGAUAGUAGGCGGGGUAACGGCCCACCUAGUCUUCGAUGGAUAGGGGUUCUGAGAGGAAGGUCCCCCACAUUGGAACUGAGACACGGUCCAAACUCCUACGGGAGGCAGCAGUGAGGAAUAUUGGUCAAUGGGCGAGAGCCUGAACCAGCCAAGUAGCGUGAAGGAUGACUGCCCUAUGGGUUGUAAACUUCUUUUAUAAAGGAAUAAAGUCGGGUAUGUAUACCCGUUUGCAUGUACUUUAUGAAUAAGGAUCGGCUA
rnacentral:rRNA from 1 species